CAAUAGCGUAUAUUAAAGUUGUUGCGGUUAAAAAGCUCGUAGUUGGAUUUCUGCUGAGAACGACCGGUCCGCCCUUUGGGUGUGUAUCUGGCUCUUUCUUGGCAUCUUCUUGGUGAACGUUGCUGCACUUGACUGUGUGGAGCGCUACCCAGGACUUUUACUUUGAGGAAAUUAGAGUGUUUCAAGCAGGCAUACGCCUUGAAUACAUUAGCAUGGAAUAAUAAGAUAGGACCUCGGUUCUAUUUUGUUGGUUUCUAGAGCUGAGGUAAUGAUUAAUAGGGAUAGUUGGGGGCAUUCGUAUUUAACUGUCAGAGGUGAAAUUCUUGGAUUUGUUAAAGUCGGACUACUGCGAAAGCAUUCGCCAAGGAUGUUUUCAUUGA
rnacentral:rRNA from 1 species